rnacentral:lncRNA from 1 species
AAAAGAUAUAAACAGUAUACAAUUAUGGCCCGUUGAAGAGGUGAAUAUCCAAAAUUGUCAACACGAGAAGGUUAUUUCAUUGAGGGCGCAGCCCGAAGUGAAAUAACUUUUAAGGGUUGACAAUUUUGGAUAUUCAUCGACUCUAAGGGGCCACAAUUGUUUUAUUAUACCGAACUAACAUUGGAAAGGCCUUUCGAACACUUCUUUGGACUUUACACAACAGUCAACACAAACACACAAGCUGAAAAUACCUUUAACGGCUUUGUGUUCUAGAAUUUCUCGAAUGUACAACAAAGGUAGAAUCUUUUUGUAAAAUAUUGAUGGCCCUGAAAAGGACCGUUUAUAAGAGACACGGCUGCUGGCACUCUUUUCAUGACCACUGCCUUAUUUCCA